rnacentral:lncRNA from 1 species
CGUUUUACUCUUUACGAUUACAUCAUAUACAAUGUACAGGUAUUUUCGAUACCUCUGACAUGAUUCUAAUAUCGCUUUUGUAUGCUUGGUUGACGUCAAUACCUGGGGAUUUAAAAAGAAAUACGUCUUAAUUUGUUUGCAACCACAACGUGAAUAUGCAAUUUGUACACAUCCGCAUUUCAGAAUUUCAAUUAUUUUAGAGACCUAAGCGGUGAUACAUUUUGUUAUUUCAAAGGUAAGACAACUUUUAGGUUUUGAAAUAAUGUAAUGAAUGAAAGCAGAUUAUUUUUUUACAUAUACUGAAUUGUCUGUUCUGUGUUGUUUAAAAUUUUUCAAUUAAUAUAUAUAUAUAUUUUGAUAUUGAGAUUGUGUUAGUUCCUUCGAAAGGGGAUGAGUUUAUUCGGUAUAUUUUUAAAUGCGUUUUAUAUUUUGCAAUGACUUAUUUUUGGUGACUGCAUUUUACAAAUUGUGUAUUUUUAAGCAAGUUUCCUCUUGUGUUAAUACCUAUUGUUUCUUAUAAAUUUUGCUAAUUAUUCUCUAUUCUUUAUAUUUAAAAGCACCUAAGUUUUAUGUAUUCUUUAUUUAUUUUUUCUAUUCUUAAUCUGCACAUGUUGUUCAUUAUUCUGUAAAUGUGGAGAAUAAAGAUAAAAAAAGAGAACACUGAAAUAAAGACCCUAUCAAGACAGACACUUCCGUGUUUUUUGUGUCUGAGUUUCCAAGCACAACAUAUGACCAUACAUUACAUGACUAGUAAUUUUGGGGCCCUUUAUAGCCUAUUGUUCGGUGUGAGCUAAGGUUCCGUGUUGAAGGCCGUACAUUGACCUAUAAUGGUUAACUUUUUAAAAUUGUAAUUUGGAUGGAGAGUUGUCUCAUAGGCACUCACACCACAUCUUCCUUUAUCUAUAUAUCUAUGAACGCUUGCAAAUCUAUUCGGAGUAUUUGAUUGAUCAUUAGGAAACACGUUUUGGCAAGAAUGCCAAUAUGACUAUAUCAACUAUGACCUUGAUCCUAGAUAAAUUGACAUAUGCUAUGGCUGUAGACUGCCUUUGCAGGUACUUUUAGGGGUAUGGUUUGAUUAACUGAGAUGAAUUAAAAGAAAAAUGUGAAUAAAAAAACGUCACGCCUUCAAUACAACAUAUCAAAAAGCAUAAGUUAAACUCCAAGGGUAUCACCAGCACAUAAGUCAGCACUUCUAUGUUGAUAUGUAUCAUCAUAAACUAUUUAUAAAACAAAUUUGAUUUUUUCGAAAUUCUAAGUCUUUUAUACCCAAAAAAAUGAUAAGCGUGAAACUUUCGAAAAUUUUUUUCUUUAUUGCUUUUUCACUUCGUCCUUUAUUUGGCCUUUUUAAUCAUUUCUUUAUUUGAUCGUCAAUAAUAAGUCUUUUAAAGACGAGACGCGCGUCUUACGUACACAAUUCUAAUCCUGGAAUCAAUGAUGAGUUUAUUUAAUAUGGGGCAAGAAAAUUUACUAACGCGUGUAUGAUCUUUUCCCUCUACAAUGUAUAUUGUACAUUUAACCAAUCAUUGAUUAUUGCUAAGCAAUUCGAAUAUUUCACAUCACUAUACAGAAUGUUUAUUUGAUCAAUGUUACAUGCAACGGUAAAUAGAAAAUUUUUGUUUUAAUUGUUACCUCUGAGAGGAGAGUCCAACAGUGACCAGUCAACACAUUUCCCAAGUUUAUAGGAUUGUUGAUUAAGAUGAAUCAUUUUAGGAAAAAACAAAAAUGAUUCAUGCGGGUCCGCUUUUAUGUCGAAAAACUUAGGAUCGACAGGUAGGCGUAUAUUUUCUUUUAAAUGUUUCUAACUGAUGUCAACAGGAGCAAUAGUGAACUUAGUAAUUCUUGCUCACUAAAUCACAUUGUCUCCAUCAUGUCUUUUCCGGAUGUUUUUGGAUGUUAUAUUCUUAUUUACAGAAAACAUAAAACAAGAUGUGUAGCAGUAAGUGUGUUGUUAUCACUGUCAUUGUUCUGGUUGUUAUUAUCACGGUGAUAGCAGUAGUAGCUACUUCACUGAAGAAGUUGGAUUCAGAUGAAAGUACGUGGAAAAAUAUCGUUAAGGUACCAUAUAGCGAUUAUUUUCGCGGGUGAAAAAAUUUCGUGAUUUUAAUAGAAAAAGGCAUACGAAAUAUUUUGGCGGUUAUUAUUUUGGGGAAUUUAAAACUGUUAUCAAUAUCUUUACAUGUUCACCUUUAAAUUGGCGGAAUCUAUUAUUGCGAUUUUUUCUAUCCGCGAAAAUAAGCGUAAAUGUACUCCCCGCAAAAAUAACCCGCUUUACGGUAGAUAGCUUGAGUUUUUAAAUGUUCGACAAUGAUUACUUUCAAACUUCUGUAACAGAGUUUGGGAUCGUUGUGCUUUCAAAUUUUAAUAUAAGUAAUACUGUUCACGAUCCUUAUUUUUUAUGGGUAUUGAAUAAAUUCAAAUUCACAAAAUUGCAGUUAUUUUUAGAUUGAUUCCAUAGGGAGAAAGUUAACAUAUUGAUUCUCAGACGAGUCAUACAAAGAAUAUACAAAUCACUAUUUUUACCAAUUUCAUUUUUUAGAACAGAGAAUUAAAAAAAAGAUCAACAAAACAAGAAGCAUGAGUAGGUCAAUUUUGCAGAAAUCAAUUCAAAAUAGUUUGAUGUUAUUAGAUUGACUGUUGGUGUUUAAGUCCACAUUCGGCCUUCUUUGCUUUAUCCUGGUGAUCAGUCUUCGAUGACCCAGGAAGAACCACCGACCUUCGGUAGGAAAACAGAAAUUUAGGUCAACUAAGAUCAGGUUCGAACCACACCUGUCACAAGCAGGGUUUGCCUCAGUGGCGAGAGCCAGUUAGUAGCUUUGAAUGAACCACUAAGACCACACGACCACGUUUUUUACAAUAGAUGGAAUUGAUCUUGGAUUUCAAUUUUCACAAUAUUAUCUAUUGAACAUGUUAAAGAUGAAGAGAAAUUGUUGAACGCAAAAAUUAUUACCAACAAAAUCUACAAUUGAUAAAACAUGCUUGCAAUCAGAAGUCGACUUCUUCUAGGAGUGAAUGCCUUUAAGGACAUAUAUUUUUUUUUAUCCGCGCGUCACUGAUUGAUGAGUCUUUGUAGAUAAUCUCAUCAUAGAUACAUUUGUACCAGGACUAAAUUUUGUAUAUACGCCAGACGCACGUUUAGUCUACAAAAGACUCAUCAGUAACGCUCGACGGAACGCCCGAACACCCGUCUGGCGUAUAUAUAAAUUUUAAUCCUGGUAUCUAUGAUGAGUACUUAGUUUGUGGAAACUUCUAUUAAAGGUACUGUUUAAAUUAACACAAUCAACAAAACUAGAUAAACAAAAUCAAAUUGAUACAAUCAUCAGACGUAUACGAGUUAUUAUCCUUGCAAAACGAUUUCUACCCAUUUUCUCCCAAAAAGAAUUGAAGACAAAGAGAAACAAAACUUAAAAUGAAAUCAUUAAGAAGGGAUUUACAAGAAAGUCAAUAUGGUCAAAUUGACGAUUUAGUUUAUGAAAGAUGUUGCCAUUGAAUGAAAAUUUACUUGCUUCUUUCUCGGAAACUAGGAGAAUUUGACAAAAACUGUAAAAAGUUAAACUAAUCAGCAAAAUCAAACAUAUAAACACGUAAAUAAUACAAAAAUUGUCAGUCGACUGCAUAUUGAGGCUAAAUGAUUUGCGUUUUAACUAAUAUUAAAAAAAAAUAUUUUGGUGAAAUGGACAAAAUAUCUGCUUUCAAGUAAAUGAUAAAUCUUCAUUAGACUCAGCAGGCAAACAUGUGCAUCACAUUGUUGCAUAUCGACACAAACAUUCUUAUGUAUAUACAUAAACUCUUCACAGAUACCAGGACUAAAUUUUGUAUAUACGCCAGACGCGCGUUUCGUCUACAAAAGACUCAUCAGUGACGCUCGAAUCCAAAAAAGUUAAAAAGGCUAAGUAAAGUACGAAGUUGAAGAGCAUUAAGGACCAAAAUUCCUAAAAGAUUUGCCAAAUACAGCUAAGGUAAUCUACAUAUUGCAAUGUUUUAAUUUCAUGCAAAUUUCAAGGUGAUCACUACUGUUCCUCGGAGCCUCUACCUGUCUUUUUUAAUGAAAGCAAACACAAAGUCAUAAGAAAGGUAGUCAAAGACAGAAAAAUAAUAUAAAUAAUUUGAUUUUUUCAUUCACAGUUGGUAUAAAGUAUGAUACGAUAAGGAAAAUUUUGGAAAAUACCACAGAAAGAGAAGGUUUACACACCGGACUUCCUGGAUUCAAAUUCAUCAUAUUUCCAAGUGUUUACACAUCACUUACAUUUAACCAUCUAGAAGUAAAUAUAUAACUAAAGAUUUUAAUGUAAAUUCAUUGGGUUGUAAAAGCGUUGACCAAAUGCAUGUUGUAUAAGGCGCGGAGGCAAUUGAAAUUAAUACCAGUCAGAACAUAUUAAUCUAACAUCUACUAGAAGUCUUAUAUCUAUAUAAAAAAAGAAACAUACUAUUAAUAUAUCAAUACAAAUAAUGAAUGUGAACAUCAGAUAUUAGAACAAUAAAUAACAUGAUACAGCAGUAAUCAGAAAAUUAUUUGUUUUACCAUUUUUAGCGAAGCUCGCUUCGCAUUUGUUUCAAUGAUAAGUUCGUAAAUUCAUUCAUAAACCAGCCAAGCGCAAUCUGUUACACUGAAUGCAAGACUUUGGAAGAACACUUUUCAUUUAAUUUAGCUUUGCUCUUUUCAUUAAUACUAUCUAGUUCUGUUUUCUAUAUAUCAUGUGUGAACCAGACCCUUUGUAGUCUCUAAGGUGGUGAUAUAAUUAUUUCUGUUUCAUUUUACUGUAAUCUGUUUCAGAGUUUAAACAAGGAUGGAGUUCAAAUUGUCCUAGACGUAACCUAUCAGUACAAAGUCAGAUCGGACAAACUAAGGAAGGUCAUUCUUGAGUUCAGGGACAAAGAUGGUUACACGAAGAUUCUCAAAUAUGAAGGUAUCAUGUGCCAAUUCGCCUAUUCAGAAUCUAAAGCAUUCUGGGUAAUAAUUUGAAAAAAUUACUACUCCAAAACGUUGUAAUUGGUUUAAAACGUGAUAAACAAUAGAAAUUCAAGUAAUUACGUAACGUUAUUUCUAUUUUGGUGUACGAACAAUCAGAUUACCUAUAGUCCUCUUGAUUCUGAAAAGCCGAGUUAUUAGAACAUUUCACCCAAUCUCAUUUUUAUAUAAAUGAAGUUUUUUUAUAACGAUAUUAUUUCUUUUUUUGUCUUUAGACAUAUCAUCCAUAAUAGAUAAAAAAAAAGCUACUGUCGGUAUUUCUCGGUAUUUGUAAUUAUUUUUCAUUUCAAAACUCCAUUUUUGAUUAAGUCAUGACGAUUGGUUGCAAUGGAUUAACCUCAUCUCAACUAUAAAUACAAGAAAACAGAUGGUCAUCACAGCCUUUUAUCUAUUACAUUUAAAAUACUACAUAAAGGAUUUUUUUAAUCUUAUGGUAACUACAACUAUAUAUCAACGAAUAUAAGCAGUAAAUAUGGGCGAGUUUUGUAACUUAAUGGACAGAUGUAGUUUCAAUGGUAUUAAGUAAACAAAUCCGAUUAAUGCUCAGUAGUUACCAUAUUUACCUUACAGUGAGGUGUGAGUUUGCUUCAUGCUAAAGGCUUUAUUGCAAAUUUGUGAUGACGAACUGCUUUGAAAUUACUCUUCUUAAUUUUGGCCAAUUGUCCAGGGAAGUAAUAGAUAUUAUGGACUUUGUGUCAUAAUUUGUUGCACAAUAGUUCCAUUCUAUUCCAUAACACAAUGCUUAAACUCUGAGGCUUAACUAGUUUUCCGGGUAGAAAAACCUUCUCUUGAAGCCAACCAAAAUAACAUUCAAUUUCUGAAAUGAUCAAUUGUUCUAAAAGAGGGGAGAAAGAUACCAGAGGGACUCAUAGAUCGAUAAUAAUCUGACAACGCCAUGGCUAAAAAAGAAAAUGCUCCCAAAGGUAGGGAGGAUCCUGUUCAACAUGUGGUUUCCAUCGUACUUCAAGAUGUAGCAACCUUUAUCGAUACAUAUAUUUUUAAAGGGGAAUCUGCUAUACACGAGACAUGUAGCCAUUUUAACACAUCUCAGUUCCAAGCAGAGCGUGCCAAUUUUCAGGAAAAGGUAAAGGAGAACAUUAUGGUCAGAUAUAAAAAGCUGAACGCAGAAAUGACAGAUUUACAAGUUAGUAGAUUUUGUGUACAAUUUGAAUUAAAUACCUUAAUAAAAGAAGAUCAUCAUGGAUGAUACACAGCGCACAAGUUUAAAAGUUAAAUAUAGACUGGAUCACACUUAAUGACUGGCAAGGAUACAUACCAUCUAUUUGGAUUUGGCAGCAGUCACAUACAAUACACACGACAGUCGUAUAAAUGUAAAAAAAAACACUCACACUUCUGUUCAAUUCAUCAUUGCAAAACGUAAAAUCACAAAUAUCUGUAGAAGUAAUAUUACAAAGCAAUUUAAACCAAGGAAAUGGGAACUAUCCUAAUUGGAGGGCCCUCAUGGGAUUUUUGAUUAUGUGAUUACUUGGUCGUUUUUUUAAUGAUUAUUUAAUUAUUAAGCCAAAUAUUUCAUGAUUAUUUGAUUACCUAGGACUGUAUUUUUAGUUUAUGAUUAUUUGAUUACUAAAGAUAAGCAAAUAUUUAAUGAUUAUGUGAUUAUAUUGGCAAAAAAAUGGUGAUUAUGUGAUUACUAGGACCCCCCCCCCAUGAGGGGCCUCUGAUUGCAUAAAAAUCAAAAUAACAACUAUACCGAACUCCGAGUAAUAUUCAAAACGGAAACUCCCUAAUCAAAUGACAAAAUCAAAUGACAAAAUAUUAAACGAAUGGACUGUCAUAUUCCUGACUUGGUGCAGGUAUUUUCAAAUGUACAAAACAAGGUUAAAUAUUUUGCCCCUUAAAACUCAUUUUUAGCUCACCUGGUCCAAAGGGCCAAGUGAGCUUUUCCCAUCACUUUGCGUCCGUCGUCCGUCGUCGUCCGUCGUCGUUAACUUUUACAAAAAUCUUCUCCUCUGAAACUACUGGGCCAAAUUAAACCAAACUUGGCCACAAUCAUCAUUGGGGUAUCUAGUUUAAAAAAUGUGUCCGGUGACACGGCCAACCAACCAAGAUGGCUGCCAUCGCUAACAAUAGAACAAGGGGGUAAAAUACAGUUUUUUGGCUUAUAACUCAAAAACCAAAGCAUUUAUAGCAAAUCUGUCAUGUGGGUAAAAUUGUUUAUCAGGUCAAGAUCUAUCUGCCCUGAAAUUUUCAGAUGAAUCGGACAACCCGUUGUUGGGUUGCUGCCCCUGAAUUGGUAAUUUUAAGGAAAUUUUGCUGUUUUUGGUUAUUAUCUUGAAUAUUAUUAAAGAUAGAGAUAAACUGUAAACAGCGAUAAUGUUCAGCAAAGUAAGAUUUACAAAUAAGUCAAAUGAUUGAAAUGGUCAGUUGACCCCUUUAGGAGUUAUUGCCCUUUAUAGUCAAUUUUUAACCAUUUUUCGUAAAUCUUAGUUAUCGUUUACAAAAAUCUUCUCCUCUGAAACUACAGGGCCAAAUUAAACCAAACUUGGCCACAAUCAUCUUUAGGGUAUUUAGCGUAAAAAAUGUGUCCGGUGACCCGGCCAUCAAAUCAAGAUGGCCGCCACGGCUAAAAAAGAACAUAGGGGUAAAAUGUAGUUUUUGGCUUAUAACUCAAAAACCAAAGCAUUUAGAGCAAAUCUGUCAUGUGGGUAAAAUUGUUUAUCAGGACAAGAUCUAUCUGCCCUGAAAUUUUCAGAUGAAUUGGACAACCCGUUGUUGGGUUGCUGUUCCUGAAUCUGUAAUUUUAAGGAAAUUUUGCUAUUUUUGGUUAUUGUCUUGAAUAUUAUUAUAGAUAGAGAUAAACUGUAAACAGCAAUAAUGUUCAGAAAAGUAAGAUUUACCAAUAAAUCAACAUGACCGAAAUGGUCAGUUGAUCCCUUUAGGAGUUAUUGCCCUUUAUAGGCAAUUUUUAGCCAUUUUUCGUAAAUCUUAGUUUUCGUUUACAAAAAUCUUCUCCUCUGAAACUACAGGGCCAAAUUAAUCCAAACUUGGCCACAAUCAUCAUUAGGGUAUUUAGUUUAAAAAUAUGUCCGGUGACCCAGCCAUCAAAUUAAGAUGGCCGCGACGGCUAAAAAUAGAACAUAGGGGUAAAAUGCAGUUUUUGAUCUAUAACUCAAAAACCAAAGCAUUUCGAGCAAAUCUGACAUGGGGUAAAAUUGUUUAUCAGGUCAAGAUCUAUCUGCCUUGAAAAUUUUUAGAUGAAUCGGACAACUUGUUGUUGGGUUGCUGCCCCUGAAUUGGUAAUUUUAAGGAAAUUUUGCUGUUUUUGGUUAUUAUCUUGAAUAUUAUUUUAGAUAGAGAUAAACUGUAAACAGCAAUAAUGUUCAUCAAAGUAAAAUUUACAAAUAAGUCAACAUGACCGAAAUGGUGAAUUGACCCCCUAAGGAGUUAUUGUCCUUUAUAGUCAAUUUUUAACAAUUUUCAUAAAUUUGUAAAUUUUUAUUAACAUUUUCCACUGAAACUACUGGGCCAAGUUCAUUUUAAAUAGAGAUAAUUGUAAGCAGCAAGACUGUUUAGUAAAGUAAGAUGUACAAACACAUUCACCAUCACCAAAACACAAUUUUGUCAUGAAUCCAUCUGCUUCCUUUGUUUGAUAUUCACAUAGACCAAGGUAAGCGACACAGGCUCUUUAGAGCCUCUAGUUUUUUUUUUUGUUUUUAUAUGAAACACAAUAUGUGAUAAAAGGACAUUUAACUAAAUUCAAUCAGAUUAAUGAUUUUCUUUCUUUUGCUUGAGACCCAAAAUAUACCUAUGCAAAUAUAAGGUGAAAGUCCGAGUCAGCCCUUUCCCCGCUAUAUUUCAAAAACCAAAUAUCUUAGAAUGGAGUCCAAUGAGCUAUUAAUAUUUUAGCUUAUUUUAUUCAAUCGAUGCUCCUGCUUAUUAUAUCAAUUCUACGUUCUUGAUAUAUUUAAUUUCACCUAGUAAAUACACCCUUAAGGAUGUUUGUUGCUCAGUUUCAAAAUAAAUAACUUUCCAUAAAACUAGUAUAUAUUGAUAGGGUAUUAAUAAAAUUAACGGUAUCAAUUUUCUUGCACCAGAUGCGCAUUUCGACAUUACAUGUCUCUUCAGUGAUGCUCGUGGCCAAAAUAUUUGAAAUCCAAAGCUUAUAUAAAAGAUGAAGAGCUAUUAAUUGAGGAAUCAAAAAAGCAAAAAAAUAUAGGGGUCAAUGUGCUUAUUUUCGAAAUAUUAGCAAUUGAAAUUUUGGCGGGAAAAUGUUCAUUCUUGAUUUUUCAUAGCUUUAUCAUUGACCAGUUAAAGUUCUCAAAAACUAUUAAAAAAAUAAAUAAGAUUUAAUAAGACUUUAACAAAUAGCUUAUAAUUAUACAUGUAAAAGAUUUGUAAAAACAAAAAGGGGGGUUCAUGGGCAAAUUUUUUAAAGGCAUUUACAUGGACAAAACCUGAGGAUUUCGAAAAUCUGACAAAAAUUCCAAAACAUGACAAGCAAGCAUCCUUAACAAUUGUAUAUUUUUUUAAGGUGAACAACAUUGCACGACCUACAGAAUACGAAAGUGCCAUAAGGAGUAAAGAAAGGGCCAGAGAAGACAUACGGGUGGCCAAUAACGAACGUCCAAGACUUUUGACAGAGGCUGAGACUCAAAUACGUGAAGCUGAAACACAGGCCAAAAUUAUCAUUAAUAAGGCAGAUUCUGCUGCGCGUAUUUUAGCUAACAGGUAUGUGAAUAAACAUUUAUCUAAUGGAGGUAAGGGGGAUGGUUAUGUUUUAUUUUUUGUCUGAUUCAGACAUUUUGUUCUUUGUUUUUCCUACGCUUAUAAUUCAAUAUUUUUUUUCAACAAUUUUACACUAUAAGGCAUGGGGGAAUCUGGAUUCAGAGUAUUUUUUGUCAUCUGCCUGACCACAUCCACCCAUUAGAUUGGGGAUCAGAUUAUUUCUUUUGGGGAAAACAAAAUUGCCCCCUUGAUUAAUCAUUCCCGUAAAAUUUUGUCCACUGAGUUUAGAUAACUUAAGACCAAUAACUUUAUUAAAUGUUGAUACAAAAUUAAUAGCAUAUUCAUUAGCUCAGCGCAUUAAAAAUAUUUUACCAAAAAUUAUCCAUGAAGAUCAAAAUGGGUAUAUGUAAAAAAUAGAAAUAUGCCUUUUAUUCCAAAACCUGAUAAACAGUAAUAUUAUUUUUGCUUAUGACAUCAUUGGUGAAAAUGGUAAUAUAGAAGAAAAUUUUAUUUUACAAAAGCUUAAAAUAAAAAGUAACUUGAUGUCAGAAUUUUACCAAUUAAAGAAAGCCGUUCCGAGAGAAUGGUUCCAGAUUUAAAAAAAAGAAAAAUUCAAAGAAAACUAAAGUAAAAACAUCCUUUGCAGUAAAUAUUAAUAUGAAUUGUAAUAAAAAAGAAAAUUUAGAAAAAUGUAGAUACCAGAAAAUAUUUCAUAUAUUUACUCAGAAGGAAAUUAAAAUACCGGUUCAAAAUACGACUGUCAUACAAGUGAGAGGUUUAGCUAGCUAUAAAACCAGGUUCAAUCCACCAUUUUCUGCAUUUGAAAAUGCCUGUACCAAGUCAGGAAUAUGACAGUUCUUCUCCAUUCGUUUUUGAUGCGUUUUAUUAUUUGAUUUUGCCAUGUGAUUAUGGACCUUCCGAAUUGAUUUUCCUCUGAGUUCAGUAUUUUUGUGAUUUUACUUUUUACAAAUGGAAGACCUUGAAUACAUUAAGUGUCUUUUAUGUAAUAUGUUAAAGUUUGUUUAUCAUUGUUUAUAAGAUAAUAAGUACAAAGUGUUUCGUUUGAAAUAGCUACACUUUAUUUUACCUUGUAAAGUUUUAUUGAACAAGUUGAAGAUCUUAGAUAUUUCACUAGUCAUUUUUGCAACAUCGUAGAGGAUUAUGACCACAUGUUUCUUGAAUGCCAUGUUCUUGGAAAUUUUUGGAGUAAAGUAAAAAAAAACUGAAUAUUAAAAAUAAAAUUCUUACAAAAUCGAAACCAACAUGCUGAAAUUUUUAUUCAUAAAUACCUGUGAGUAGCUCAUAUUAAUCAUAUUUAAAUCACUAUAAAAACUUUAAUUUCCAAACCAGGAAGAGAUAAUGGCAAGUGUGAAAUAUUUACCGAAACGUUUUCUUUCCAAACAAAAUAGAUAAUACAUAUAGAUAAUUAAGAAUUUCAUAUAUACUUAUUUAUUUAGUAUUGGAAAUGAAAUAUAUAUAUACUAUAGUUAAGAUAAAUUGUAAUGUAUUAUUGUUAAACAGAGAGAAACCCUGGAUAUCUUAUAAAGAGACCCUUCACUACAAUGCUGGAAUAGUUAAGAAAAAUGUUAACAGCAAGCAAUAGAAUGAAAUUCAAAACAGUGUGGCUGUGGCCAUUGAUUGAUACAUUAAAUUCAUCCAUUGACUGGGACAAUUUCUCGAACGUUUGUCUGUACCGACCACUGUUCACGACGUACCUACGAUAGACAUUUAAACUGUGGGGUCACCAAAGGUUUCUUAACGACUUUAAUUAUAAAAUAAUUCGAAAAAUCAAUCAGGAAUAACCUUUAUGUUUUGAUUUCUAUAAUUGAUAUAAAUCAAAACAUCGUGUUAUUUCUGAUUAAUUUUUCGAAUUACUUUAUUAAGAUGUUGAGAACUUUGUGACCCCUAGUUUAAGUGUCUUUAAAAAGUACAUAGUGAGCAGUGGUCGUUACAUACAAACGUUCACCUAAAUUGUCCCAGUCAAUGGAUGAAUUUUAAUGAAAAGAAAAGAAUAGAAAAGAAGAGAAAUUUUUUAGAAGAAAUUUUGCUUCUAUGUACAGCCUUGCCAAUUAAAUUAUAAAUUCAUAUUUUGAAAAGAAAUAAAAUAAAAAUUAUAAAACUGUCCAUAUUGUUGUGUUCAUUAUUAAAUCAUUUUUGAAUGCAAACUGAUAAAACACAAUCAGAAACCAUUUCAAUUUGACCAAUAUGCUCAUUUUACCACAUGAACAAAAAAGAAAUGACAACAAUUACAUGAGAUAAUCUAUAUCCAACUUUCAAUGUCUCUGCUUAAUCUGAUAAAAUUUAAAAAACUAUGUUGUGCAAAAAUUUUCAUUGUUUGUAAGAAAAUGAGUUAAUAAAUUUACUAGGUAGGAUUUUUUAUAGGACUGCAAAUAUGACAAAUUCGUAACAAAAUAAUUUGAAGAAAAUGGUUUUGAAAAUUACCGACACAAGAAAAGGAGCACAAAAGUAAACAAACAAAAGACAUCUAGAGGUCAACAAUAAACACAAUGACAACCUUACGAAUCGCAUUAGGUAAAGCGAAUGAUUUAUUGGUGCUUAUUCGUUAUUAUUAUUAUUAUUAUUUUAGAGCUACCACUGAGGCACAGGCCAUUAUUGCCCAGUAUGAAAAAGAGGCUGAAGCGUAUAAGAAGAUUGUAGAAGCAUCAGGACUUGGAUUCACUAUUGAUGGUUUCAUUUCCUAUCUUGGCGUACGAGUAAUCGCUGAUGCAAAGAAUCCUGUCUACAUAGGCUUGGACAGCCCAGGAAAGACGGUUUAUCCUUAAAACAAAUUGUUCCUCUCCGUGUGCAUCUGGGCACAUUCAAAUGUUGUAUUUAUCUGAAGUGCUUAGAAUAUCAUAAUGUUAAAUUUAAAAAAAGUGCAAUAUGUUGAAAUAAAGACUCAAUGAUUACAUGGAUUAUGAUGUUUAGAAUUCAACCAUUCUACUUCACAUACUGAAGCGCAAAUUGAGUAAAAAGUAAAAUCACAAAAAGUUGGAACUCCGAGGGAAAUUCAAAAAAGGAAAGGCCCUAAUUGAAUAGGAAAAUUAAAUGCGCAAACACAUCAAACGAAUAUUUCUG